rnacentral:rRNA from 1 species
CGUGUAGGUGGGCUGGUCAGUCAGAUGUGAAAGUUCGCGGCUUAACCGCGGAACUGCAUUUGAAACUGCCAGUCUUGAGUGCGAGAGAGGGUAGUGGAAUUCUCAGUGUAGCGGUGAAAUGCGUAGAUAUUGGGAAGAACACCAGUAGCGAAGGCGGCUACCUGGCUCGCAACUGACGCUAAUGCGCGAAAGCGUGGGGAGCAAACA